rnacentral:rRNA from 1 species
CGGCGUAAAGAGUGGUUAUGGAACCCUAAAACUAAAGCCGAAAGCCCCUCCUCCUGUCAUACGUACUCAGGGGCCAGAACUACACUACACGAAAGUAGCUUUAUUAACGCCGACCAGAACCCACGAUAGCUGGGGCACAAACUGGGAUUAGAUACCCCACUAUGCCCAGCCAUAAACCUAGAUGCCCUAAUACAAUCGCAUCCGCCAGGGGACUACGAGCACUAGCUUAAAACCCAAAGGACUUGGCGGUGCCUCAGACCCCCCUAGAGGAGCCUGUUCUAGAACCGAUAACCCCCGUUCAACCUCACCACUUCUUGCCAUUUCCGCCUAUAUACCACCGUCGCCAGCUUACCCUGUGAAGGAGAAAAAGUAAGCAAAAUGGAAAUUUUCCAAAACGUCAGGUCGAGGUGUAGCACACGAAGUGGGAAGAAAUGGGCUACAUUGCCUGUCACAGGCUACUCACGAAAAGUCACCUGAAAUGGUAACUCAAAGGUGGAUUUAGCAGUAAAAAGGGAGUAGAGCGCCCUUUUGAAGUUGGCUCUGAGGCGCGCACACACCGCCCGUCACUCUCCCCAAAACCC